rnacentral:rRNA from 1 species
AGAGUUUGAUCAUGGCUCAGGACGAACGCUGACGGUGUGCUUUAGGCAUGCAAGUCGAACGAGAAAGCCCUUCGGGGUGAGUACAGUGGCGAACGGGUGAGUAACACGUGGGCAAUCUGCCCCUCGCAGGGGGAUAACCGGGGGAAACCCCGGCUAAUACCCCGUACGCUUACGGAGCUGCAUGGCUCCGUAAGGAAAGGUAGCUUCGGCCAUCCGGCGAGGGAUGAGCCCGCGGUACAUUAGCUAGUUGGUGGGGUAACGGCCCACCAAGGCGACGAUGUAUAGCUGGUCUGAGAGGAUGAUCAGCCACACUGGGACUGAGACACGGCCCAGACUCCUACGGGAGGCAGCAGUCGGGAAUCUUGCGCAAUGGGCGAAAGCCUGACGCAGCAACACCGUGUGAGCGACGAAGGCCUUCGGGUCGUAAAGCUCUGUUGUUGGGGACGAAGGGUUAGGGGUUAAUAGCCCCGAGCCUGACGGUACCCUUCGAGGAAGCCCCGGCUAACUACGUGCCAGCAGCGGCGGUAAUUC